GUAGCUCUGGAUUCUCGGGUUCCCUGGCCUGUGGCUCUGAGUCUGAUGGAGCCUCAACCAGGGUGACCCCGGAGGGUGGGGUCUCAGAGGUGUGCUGUAUCUCAGAUGGUGCGGACGAGUCCUCGGGCUGUUCUCCCAAUGGCUGUGGGGAGUGGGGAGCUCCUGGGGCACAGCUGUCCUCCGCUGGGACAGCAGCGCACUCGGCCAGCGCGUCUGGCACCCCAGGGUUGGAGGGGAGUGGGGCCUCGGGUUCUUCCGGCGGCCGGGGCUUCUUUCUCAGCACCACGAACUUGACCCCGUCCAGCUCCUUCACCACGGCCACGUUGUUGACGAACUUCUUGAAGCGGUCCCUACGGGCCGCGCGGCCCCGUGGGUCCCCAGCGUCCAGUAGCGGCUUGAAGCGGCUCAGCAGCUCGGAGUUGCGCACCUGCCCGCCGUGCUCCCGCAGGAAGCCCAGCACCGCCGCCUGGCUCACUCCUGCCGCGGCGGCGGCCG
rnacentral:lncRNA from 1 species